AGGUGCGAUCAUACCAACACUAAUGCACUGGAUCCCAUCAUUCUUGGGCGAGAGUAGUACUAGGAUGGGUGACCUCCUGGGAAGUCCUUGUGUUGCACCUC
rfam:Medicago truncatula strain A17 chromosome 4, whole genome shotgun sequence.